GGGGGUGUGGCUCAGUUGGUUAGAGCGUUGGUCUCAUAAACAAUGAUCUCAUUAGACAUGAGAGCAAUCCAAAGGUCGAGAGUUCGAGCCUCUCCACCCUCA